UACAGAGGUCUCAAGCGUUGUUCGGAUUCAUUGGGCGUAAAGGGUGCGUAGGUGGCGUCGUAAGUCAGGUGUGAAAUCUCGGAGCUUAACUCCGAAACUGCAUUUGAUACUGCGGUGCUUGAGGACUGGAGAGGAGACUGGAAUUCAUGGUGUAGCAGUGAAAUGCGUAGAGAUCAUGAGGAAGACCAGUGGCGAAGGCGGCUCACUGGCCCGAUACUGACGCUGAGGCACGAAAGCGUGGGGAGCAAACAGG
rnacentral:rRNA from 1 species